GAUGAACGCUAGCGGCAGGCCUAACACAUGCAAGUCGAGGGAGAGGUUACCUUCGGGUAACCAAAACCGGCGCACGGGUGCGUAACGCGUAUACAAUCUGCCUUUCACAUAGGGAUAGCCCGAAGAAAUUUGGAUUAAUACCUAAUGGUAUAUAAGAGCGGCAUCGUUUUUAUAUUAAAGCUACGGUGGUGAAAGAUGAGUAUGCGUUCUAUUAGCUAGUUGGAGAGGUAACGGCUCCCCAAGGCGACGAUAGAUAGGGGUUCUGAGAGGGAUGUCCCCCAGACUGGUACUGAGAUACGGACCAGACUCCUACGGGAGGCAGCAGUGAGGAAUAUUGGACAAUGGUCGGAAGACUGAUCCAGCCAUGCCGCGUGCAGGAUGAAGGUCCUAUGGAUUGUAAACUGCUUUUGUAAGGGAAGGAUAAGGAGUACGUGUACUUUGAUGACGGUACCUUACGAAUAAGCAUCGGCUAACUCCGUG
rnacentral:rRNA from 1 species